rnacentral:lncRNA from 1 species
GUGGCGUAGUCGUAAUGGUUCAGUCGGAAGAUCCGUGACAGGUUGAAGCGAUAUGAAGAUGAAAAGGGUUUAGUUGUGCGGUGGUCGACGGCGUGGGUUACUUCGGUGGCGGAGUUCGAUCCACGGUGGAAGGAAAAAGAAGAGUGAGGUUGUUUAGAUCGCAGUCAGCUUGGUAGAUGGCGUUGAAGGGAAUUCGCGGCGGCCAUGGCGGUUAGCCGGAAGUUGUUGAAGGAUGUUAAGGGCGGAGAAUUCGAGACGUACGGUGGAGUGUGUAUGUUAUGGUGGUGUUUGUUGGAAGGUUUGAGUUUAUGAAGAAGAAGAGGAUUUGAAGGAAUUGAGUGGGUAAGGGUGUGACGGCAGUGCGUUUUUUCAAGGGGAAGAAGAAGGUGGAUUUCAGUGUUUUGUGUGUGUGACGUUUGGGAGCAGAAGAAGUAUUCCUCCCUUUUUGUUUUUUUCUGUCCCAUGAGUCCCCUUUUUCUUGAGACAGAGUGGUGAUCCCCACGUGAAGAAGAAAUCUCUUUGUUUCCCCUUUUUCCCCGUUAGCCAGCUGUUCCUCCAUUAAUAAAAUCCCAUUUUUGUUCUUAUCCCAUCUCUCCCAAUAACAUGAUGCCACGUUUCAUGUUGAGAGUAUGGAUAAAAAAUCUUCUCAAAUGCAAGCUGUCAAACGUGUAUCUUUCACAAGUAUACAACUUUAUUUUUAAUUUUUAAUUUUUAAUGUUAAUAUUAAUAUUAUUUGAUUUUUCAUGAUUAAUAUUAUUAUUAAUUGAUUUUUGAUUGGAUAAUGGAAUAUGAUAACGAUUGCAAAUGAGAUCCGUGGAUUAAUUUGUAUCAACGAUCCUGAUUAAUCCAAAGAAGCACAAGCAAUUUUAAAAUGUCCGAUAUGUCCCUUUUAUAUGAUUUUAAUUGAUUUAAAAUAAUUUAAAUCAUCAAAUCAAAUUAAAUUCGCAUCUUUCUAAAUACAUACGAUAAAAAUAAAAUGAGAAUACGAAAAAUUCUAUUUAUUUCUUUUGAACAUUUUGGCGAAAGAAUAAAAAUAAAAUGACUAAAAAUUAAUAAAAGUCGGACGAAAAUUUGUUUAAAAAAUUAAAUCGGACGCACUAAAAUGAUCAGCGCGAAAUAUACUUAUUGAAAAAAUACAUCAUUUCUUUUAAUUUUGAAAUAAAUUUUGACCGAUUGAAAGGCUUAGACGGAUCAAAAUGCGAUUGAAAAAGUCGUCGAAAAAUAUAACGAGCACACCAUGUUAAACUACGCAGACCAUAGAUUAAUAAUACUGGCGUAUGCAAGUUUAAUUUUGAAACUUUUUACACGCUGAUUUUGCACGUACUUGAGAAAUGAUUUAACCAAUUUGUCUAUAUUUUCAAUAAUUUAUUUCGACCGAUAUUUUAAGUAUUAUUCAUGAUGAAAUGCAUGUUAUGCUGUACAACUGAUGCAAAUUAAAAAUGAAAUCAAGUUUAUGAAAAAU